CCUACGGGGGGCAGCAGUAGGGAAUCUUCGGCAAUGGACGAAAGUCUGACCGAGCAACGCCGCGUGAGUGAAGAAGGUUUUCGGAUCGUAAAACUCUGUUGGUAGAGAAGAACGUUGGUGAGAGUGGAAAGCUCAUCAAGUGACGGUAACUACCCAGAAAGGGACGGCUAACUACGUGCCAGCAGCCGCGGUAAUACGUAGGUCCCGAGCGUUGUCCGGAUUUAUUGGGCGUAAAGCGAGCGCAGGUGGUUUAUUAAGUC
rnacentral:rRNA from 1 species